CCAGCGGAGCAUCAGGCUGAGCAGUCACUGAACCCUGCCAGCUGCCAGAGCAGUGGGAGGAGGAGGAGGAGCCCCUGACUCUUCCUCAGCUGUCUGACAUCUGUAAAGAGCUGCUUCUCCAUGUCCAGCAGGAGCUGGGCUGCUGCACCUGGUGUCAAGGAACAGAAGAGGAUGAUAAAGUAUUGCUGCUAGCAAGAAUCCAGAAAGUGCCACAGUUCAACAAGUGUUGAACGUCCCUGGAAGGGAGAGCCAGAGUUUGUCCUAUGAAGCAGCAUGGCCAGGAACCCUUUGGGCAGGAUAAACCCAGGACAGGGGGAAGGCCAACCAGCAGAAAUGCCAUGAGCCCUUUCCCAAAGUGCCUGUGUGCUGCACACUGGAGCACCUGUGCAGAAGACAUCUCCAGAGGUAAGGGUGAGGUAAAGAGCAUCACUGCUGCCUGUUUAGAUCAGACACCAUCCAAGGGGGCUUCCUCACCAGGGCUAUUCCUGCUCUAAAAGCUGGGAGUUUAUUGCACAUGGUGGAGUAAAUUACAAAGAGAAAUAUAUGCUUCCAUGCUUCACUGACUGAAUCAGAGCCUCAGUACCUGGAUAUGCAGUAAAAGCUGACUAUUUCUUGCCUUUUCUGUAUCUACUUCUGGAUCCAGUGUGUUAACACCCGUAAUUAACUACAGGAAAUUAAAAAAAGGAUCACACCCCUAAGAAGAAAAUAUUUCUCCUCCUUACUCUGUGCUAAGGCUUCCCUGGCAAGGAAUUCUGUUUUUCUGCUGUUCUGGCAGAUUGUUUGACACUGAGCAACUGCAUUAGCACUUCUGGAACAAGGAAUGAGAGCUGAGAGUUAAAAAAGCAUUGUGGAAGCCUUCCUGCUUGAGACAUUUAAAAAUUAAAUGACUGAAGCUUUUAGAAAUUUAGUGUAAUAGACUGAUGCCUAACUAACAGGGAAAUAAAGCAGAUCGCCUAAGAGAAUGUUUAAGUUUCAGUUUUGCCAUGCCCUGCUGCUGGCUUGGGAGUUUGGCUGAACUCUUCCCAGGUAAAUGACUCUGUUCCUGAUUCUAAGCAGGCUCCAGGCAGGAAGAAGAGGCAAGAAAAAGGUCUUAGAGGGCACAAGUCUCUGGAGGAAUGAGCUCAGCUGGUUGCUGGGCUGAAGUGGCCAGCAAGAGCAGCUUUCCAACCACCAAAUGGUGCAGCUGAGCUUUGGGCCAGAAGAGACCAGGCCUGUCCAGGCUGGCAGAAACGGAACCCUCUCCCUGCCCCCAGUCUUCUUAGCAUAGGAGGGAAGGUAAACCAGGAAAAUAUCUGCAUAAUGCCACAGUGCAAGAGGAAUCAGUCCCCUGAGAGCCUCUGGGAACAGGUCCAGCCCAGGUCUGUGGGUGCCAAGGGCCAGGCCGCAGCUGCUCAGGAGCUGGGAAGGUCAAACCUCUGCUGGGGAAACCUCCAGGCCCAUUAACAUUUUCAAUUAACAUAAAUCUCCAUGUUUCCAAACAAUUUUCUAGGAAUUCUAAUAUAAGCACAUAUUUAGGCCCUGGACAUUGCUCACAAAAGUCAUAUUUUGAAGAGUGACAAGUAAAGCUUCAUCCUGCUUUUAGCCCCAUCUGCUGUGUCUUGCCUUGUCUUGUCUGUGCUUCUGAGCCAACAAUGAGGGAACUUUCUUUCCUGCUCAGGCAGAUGUUUACCUUUCAGCACCUGAGAUGACCUUU